GAAAAGCAGAAAAGCUUGUCUUGAACCUAGGCAAUGGGCUAGGACAAAUUAUGUUCUUUUGGCUUAUCGUGUUGCUGAAUAGCGCCGAACAGAAUCAUGUUCUUUGGAUCCAACAAACCUUCCAGUCUUUGUUCCUCUUUAUGAACAAGGACCAUACAGCCGGUGUUGGGCUGCAAAUUUAAAGCAAGCUUUCAGGUAGAGCGUUGGGGACUCGAGCGCUACGGAAAGUGAUGGUGCAAGUAAUUAAAAUCUUUAGCUCUUGAACUAGUUUUUCAGAUGAGAAGAAGACCCUAUUUGGACGCUAAAGAUGAAGUAUUAGCCGCCUGCCCAUCCAUGAAAAGUAAUUUCUAACCCAUCAUUCUUGCUUUCAUGUUAUAAACCUUGAUUCUAUGGGUGUGUUUGGGGGAGGGAAAGAGUUAUGGGGGAAAAGGAUUAUGAUAAUCCUAGGAUUAUGAUAAUCCUAGUAUUAUGAUAAUAUGUGUUUGGGGGAAGAUUUAUUAUUGAUAGUGUUAUGAUAAUAUGUGUUUGGGGGAAGAAUUAUUAUUGGUAGUGUUAUUAUAAUAUGUGUUUGGGGGAAGAAUUAUUAUUGGUAGUGUUAUAAUAGUAUGUGUUUGGGAAAGGGAUUAUUAUAGUAGUGUUAUAAUAAUAUGUGUUUGGGGAAAGAAUUAUUAUAGUAGUAUUAUUAUAAUAUGUGUUUGGGGGAAAGAUUAUUAUUAUAGUAUUAUUAUAAAAUGUG